AGCGUCAUUACACCACUCAAGCCUCGCUUGGUAUUGGGCGACGCGGUACGCCGCGUGCCUCAAAUCUUUCGGCUGGGUCUCGAUCGUCCCUCAGCGUUGUGGAAACUAUUCGCUAAAGGUGCACGUUUCGGUCACGCCGGUAAACAAACCAUUCAUUAAAGGUUGACCUCGGAUCAGGUAGGGAUACCCGCUGAACUUAA
rnacentral:misc_RNA from 1 species